UACGUAGGGCGCAAGCGUUGUCCGGAAUUAUUGGGCAUAAAGAGCUCGUAGGCGGUUUGUCGCGUCUGCUGUGAAAACCUAAGGCUCAACCUUGGGCUUGCAGUGGGUACGGGCAGACUAGAGUGCGGGUAGGGGUGACUGGAAUUCCUGGUGUAGCGGUGGAAUGCGCAGAUAUCAGGAGGAACACCGAUGGCGAAGGCAGGUCACUGGGCCGCAAACUG
rnacentral:rRNA from 1 species